GUAAUUUAUAUCUUUUUGUAUUCACAUUUAUAGUUAUAAAAAAGUUCUAAAAGUAAAAAAAGUUUUUUACUAUUGGCAUAUACAAGGUUGCGUGAGUUUUUGCGAGGCAUGGCGGAUGUCCGGGGGGGAGGGAGGGUCACUAGUUCGGACAAUGCCGGACAAGGGGGGGGGGGCUGAAAAUCCAUCAUUUGGCUGGACAUCCUUUGUAAAUGGCCCCUUGUUGUUUUAUGACCGCCAUUUGGCCAAAGUUGCAAUUUGGAUGAGCAAAUUCGUGCGUAUACUGUGCACACAUGCCGUGAUUUUGCAUAAUAUAGCUCAACUGCAUGAAGUUAGCUUAGUUAGCAGACUAUGCGCGCGCAUUAGUUUUAGAUUCCAACGGCAGGCGUCUACAUUUGUAUGGAAGGCAUGUACAAGAUGACUAUGGAAGGCAUCUACAUUUGUACGGAAGAAAUUUAUAUUUCUACGGAAAGCGUCUAUAUGUUUGCGGAAGUCGUCUGAAUUUUCUAUGGAAACGCCGCACAUUGAUAGAGAAACGUUCUGUUAUUAAGAAAAACUAUUUCAAGUACACAGAACGAAUGUGAUUUUUUACGGAUCAAGCGUGUCCCUAACGGGCCACGAUACGCAAACACAAUACACCUUUUCAAAAAGGCUGCCUUGUGACGUAGUUUCCGGAUAAAGGAAAACCCCGCACAGCCAUUUGGCUUCCAUGAUUGCCCAAAUUAUCAAUAAAUAUAGAUAAAGGCCUUCUUAACGGAUUAACUUUUAUCGAUCUUAAAAAAGCAUUUGAUACUAUUGAUCACACCAUUCUUUUACGGAAGUUACGAAUUUACGCGUUGUUGAAAAUAGUAUCAAAUUCUUCGAAUCAUACCUAAGCAACCGCAAGUCAAAGAUGUUGUGUCA